rnacentral:rRNA from 1 species
AGUCGAGCGCACCUUCGGGUGAGCGGCGGACGGGUUAGUAACGCGUGGGAACAUACCCUUUGGUACGGAAUAGCCUCUGGAAACGGAGAGUAAUACCGUAUGAGCCCUUCGGGGGAAAGAUUUAUCGCCAAAGGAUUGGCCCGCGUUAGAUUAGGUAGUUGGUGGGGUAAUGGCCUACCAAGCCUACGAUCUAUAGCUGGUUUUAGAGGAUGAUCAGCAACACUGGGACUGAGACACGGCCCAGACUCCUACGGGAGGCAGCAGUGGGGAAUCUUGGACAAUGGGGGCAACCCUGAUCCAGCCAUGCCGCGUGAGUGAUGAAGGCCUUAGGGUCGUAAAGCUCUUUCGCCUGUGAAGAUAAUGACGGUAGCAGGUAAAGAAACCCCGGCUAACUCCGUGCCAGCAGCCGCGGUAAUACGGAGGGGGUUAGCGUUGUUCGGAAUUACUGGGCGUAAAGCGCACGUAGGCGGACUGGAAAGUUGGGGGUGAAAUCCCAGGGCUCAACCCUGGAACUGCCUCCAAAACUAUCAGUCUAGAGUUCGAGAGAGGUGAGUGGAAUUCCGAGUGUAGAGGUGAAAUUCGUAGAUAUUCGGAGGAACACCAGUGGCGAAGGCGGCUCACUGGCUCGAUACUGACGCUGAGGUGCGAAAGUGUGGGGAGCAAACAGGAUUAGAUACCCUGGUAGUCCACACCGUAAACGAUGAAUGCCAGUCGUCGGGUAGCAUGCUAUUCGGUGACACACCUAACGGAUUAAGCAUUCCGCCUGGGGAGUACGGUCGCAAGAUUAAAACUCAAGGAAUUGAC